AUUCGAAAUCUCCCAGGGGACAGCGGGGCUGAUUAAAUAUUCAUUUUCAAACUACUAGUUCCUUGAAAAAAAUUAUGGUAUACUAGUACCUUUAAAUUUCAAGGUGCUAGUACCUUAAUUGAAAAUUUCAAACUACUAGCAGUUUGAAAAUGAAUAUUUAAUCAGCCCCGCUGUCCCCUGGGAGAUUUCAAA